GGGGGUUUAGCUCAGCGGCAUAAGCACCUGCCUUGCAAGCAGGCGGUCCUGAGUUCAAUUCCUGGUACCGAUA
rnacentral:tRNA from 1 species